rnacentral:rRNA from 1 species
UACAGAGGUCUCAAGCGUUGUUCGGAUUCAUUGGGCGUAAAGGGUGCGUAGGUGGCGCGCUAAGUCAGGUGUGAAAUUUCGGAGCUUAACUCCGAAACUGCAUUUGAUACUGGCGUGCUUGAGGACUGGAGGGGAGACUGGAAUUCAUGGUGUAGCAGUGAAAUGCGUAGAGAUCAUGAGGAAGACCAGUGGCGAAGGCGGGUCUCUGGACAGUUCCUGACACUGAGGCACGAAGGCCAGGGGAGCAAACGGG